rnacentral:rRNA from 1 species
CCUACGGGUGGCUGCAGUGAGGAAUAUUGGUCAAUGGGCGCAAGACUGAACCAGCCAAGUAGCGUGAAGGAUGAAUGCCCAAUGGGUUGUAAACUUCUUUUAUAUGGGAAUAAAAUGUUCCACGUGUGGGAUUUUGUAUGUACCUUAUGAAUAAGGAUCGGCUAACUCCGUGCCAGCAGCCGCGGUAAUACGGAGGAUCCGAGCGUUAUCCGGAUUUAUUGGGUUUAAAGGGUGCGUAGGCGGAAGGUUAAGUCAGCGGGCAACUGUCGGGGCUCAACACCGGCCUGCCGUUGAAACUGGGCUUCUUGAGUGGGCGAGAAGUAUGCGGAAUGCGCGGUGUAGCGGUGAAAUGCAUAGAUAUCACGCAGAACUCCGAUUGCGAAGGCAGCAUACCGGCGCUCAACUGACGCUGAGGCACGAAAGCGUGGGGAUCGAACAGGAUUAGAUACCCUAGUAGUC